UGAGUAACGCGUAGGAACCUGCCCUGGUGUGGGGGACAAGCCACCGAAAGGUGGUCUAAUACCGCAUACGGUCCCUGGCGCAAGUCAGGAAGAAAGCCUUCGGGUGCACCAGGAGGGGCCUGCGUCCGAUUAGCUAGUUGGUGGGGUAACGGCCUACCAAGGCGAUGAUCGGUAGCUGGUCUGAGAGGAUGAUCAGCCAGACUGGGACUGGGACACGGCCCAGACUCCUACGGGAGGCAGCAGUUAGGAAUUUUGGGCAAUGGCCGCAAGGCUGACCCAGCAACGCCGCGUGGGGGACGAAGGCCUUCGGGUUGUAAACCCCUUUUCUCGGGGACGAUGAUGACGGUACCCGAGGAAGAAGCCCCGGAUAACUACGUGCCAGCCGCCGCGG
rnacentral:rRNA from 1 species